rnacentral:misc_RNA from 1 species
GGAAGAGAGCCUCAACCUUCGCCUCCUUCUUCCUGUUAGGCAGAGGGCUUUUCUUUUUUUGGUUUUGAGUUUGCAUUAGGUUAUAUUCUCGUGGUGCUCAUAAUAGAAGCAGUGCUUAGAAACAUGUUGUUUUGUUCUGGAGUUGGUGGAAAUCAGUAACAGUUUGACAGAAUCUGCAAGGACAUAUAGAGGGAGUUUAGCACUGCAGGUUGGGUUAAGUGUACAAGUCCAAUGUCAUAGAAGUUUGCCAAAAAGCUCUAGGAACAA